UACGAAGGGGGCUAGCGUUGUUCGGAAUGACUGGGCGUAAAGGGUGCGUAGGCGGUUUAGUAAGUUUGAUGUGAAAGUCCUGGGCUCAACCUGGGGAUUGCAUUGGAAACUGCUAGGCUAGAGUCCGAGAGAGGAAAAUGGAAUUGCGAGUGUAGAGGUGAAAUUCGUAGAUAUUCGCAAGAACACCGGUGGCGAAGGCGGUUUUCUGGCUCGGUACUGACGCUAAGGCACGAAAGCGUGGGGAGCAAACAGG
rnacentral:rRNA from 1 species